UAUGUUGUAUACAAAAGUUAUCUUGGGCAAAAAAGUUGGACAAUUGACAUAGGAAAAAAGAUUUAUACACAAUAUGGAACAAAGAAAAAAAAGGAAAAAAAGAAGAAGAAAUUUGGGGAAAAAGGUAAAGGAAAAAUUGGAAAAAAAAAUGGAAUAAAAAAUUAAGGGAUAUCUUUAAAAAAAAUAAGGAGUGCACUAAGAGGCA
rnacentral:lncRNA from 1 species